rnacentral:sRNA from 1 species
GCUGGGUGUGGUGAUGCAUGCCUGUAAUCCCAGCAGCUCAGGAGGCUGAGGCAGGAGGAUCGUGAGUUCAAAGCCAACCUCAGCAACUUAGUGACGCCCUAAGCAACUCAGCAAGACCCUGUCUCUA